UAUCUGUCCCCUGCUGAGGGUGAAUUUUCCCCAGAGCCUUACUCUACUCACAGGGAAAAGGAGUUUUCCAUGUGGUCAUUGCAUCAUAAAUAGCUUCCUUUCCUCUUGUGAGUCCCCCCACCUCUGCAGGGAUGGGCAGGGGAAACCCCACGUGCUGGAUAUAAAUACCCAAGCCUGGGGAGAUGGGGAGCCAACAGAACUUGAAGGCACAUCAUCCUCAGAAGCCACAGCUUACUUCAAGAUGCAGCACAUCUCCAUGGUCCUGUUAUGUCUGUUGCUUGUAACAUCAGGGCCCCAAGGUAGCUUCAGCAGUAGUUUGGUUGAUUCGAAGCCUACCUGCUGCUUUAACUUCCUGAAGAGGAACCUUCCACACUAUCUCAUCAAAAGCUAUAGUAUCACUAGCCGUUCCUGCUCCUACAACGCUGUGAUGUUUACUCUGAAGAAGGGCAAAAUAUACUGUGCACAUCUCGAAGACAAAUGGGUUCAGGAUUACUUGAAUAAAAUGAAUAAAAUGAACAGUAGAGGCUCAAUUCAAAGCCAAAUUUGAGGGCCACCUCCAACCAGAAAACUAUCCCGAUUCUACCAGUUGCGAUUGUACUCCUCCUUCCUUUGUAUAUAUUGUAUAUUUAAUUGCCUAUGUCCAAGUUGUGUCCCUGGUUAGAGUGUAAGUUCCUUGAAGACGAGGAAGGAUUCCCCUCCCCCCACCCUUUUUGUCUUGUAUCCCCAGGACCAAUCACACUGGCCCAUAGCAGGCAAUUGACAAAUGUUGAAUUGAAUUGAAAGUGGAUUUCCAGCAAAGAAUGAAGACAAUCUGGGCAGCCUAGAGCCCUGUUUAUCCACUAUUCCCUUACUGACAAUUUUUCUAGGCUCUGAAGCUUGAACUAGGUCUCAAUAAGCUAUUAUUAUGUCUUAUUUAUUGACAGGUCUAAAACCUCUGAUUUCUAUAGCCCGUCUAUUACUUGGAUUCUACUUGGAAAGGAGGCGUAGCCUCAGUUGGCCUCAAACUGAGUGUCAUAAGGCAACAUAGGCCUGUUUGACUUGGAAUGAAUAUAACUUAUCUAAAUCAAUUCAAAUAAAUGCUCUAACU
ensembl:lncRNA